CUUUGGGGUGUGACUGCGUACCUUUUGUAUAAUGGGUCAGCGACUUAUAUUCUGUAGCAAGGUUAACCGAAUAGGGGAGCCGGAGGGAAACCGAGUCUUAAUUGGGCGUUAAGUUGCAGGGUAUAGACCCGAAACCCGGUGAUCUAGCCAUGGGCAGGUUGAAGGUUGGGUAACACUAACUGGAGGACCGAACCGACUAAUGUUGAAAAAUUAGCGGAUGACCUGUGGCUGGGGGUGAAAGGCCAAUCAAACCGGGAGAUAGCUGGUUCUCCCCGAAAGCUAUUUAGGUAGCGCCUCGUGAAUUCAUCUCCGGGGGUAG
rnacentral:rRNA from 2 species